AGUGCCUUCUUUGGCACUCCAUAUACUAAAAUUGGAACCAAAACAGAGAUUAGCAUGGUCCCUGCCCAGGGAUAACACUCAGAUUCAUGAAGCAGUCCAUAUUUUU
ensembl:snRNA U6 U6 spliceosomal RNA